rnacentral:tRNA from 3 species
GCAUGGGUGGCGGAAUGGUAGACGCGUAAGGUUGAGGUCCUUAUAGGUGUUUUCCUGUGAGAGUUCAAGUCUCUUCCCAUGCACCA